rnacentral:miRNA from 1 species
CUGUAUGCCCUCACCGCCCAGC